AAGUCGUAACAAGGUUUCCGUAGGUGAACCUGCGGAAGGAUCAUUAUUGAAUAAACCUGGCUUGGUUGUUGCUGGUCUUUUCGGAGACAUGUGCACGCCUUGUCAUCUUUAUAUUUCCACCUGUGCACCUUUUGUAGACUUGGAAGACAGUUUUCCGAGGCAACUCGGUCGUGAGGAAAUGCUUUAAAUGGCUUUCCUUGAUUGUCUUCAAGCCUAUGUUUCAUAUACACCAUAAGAAUGUAACAGAAUGUCAUUAUUAGACUUAUGUCUUAUAAACUAUAUACAACUUUCAGCAACGGAUCUCUUGGCUCUC
rnacentral:misc_RNA from 1 species